rnacentral:lncRNA from 1 species
CUGAAGGCUACUUCGACUUGUUGAGAUCUGUGUGUGAAGCUGGAAUGUGUCUGAAAUAGUUUGCUUGCAUAUCGAGUUGAAUUCAACAAAAUAUGUUUUUGAUAAGGGGUUAAAAACAGUCCUUUACACAACCUUGUGCUGAUGAACUAGGCCUUGUGAUAGAUUGCACGAGCAAACAAAUAGACCAAAGGGGGGGAAAAGAGGAAAAUGUCUUGCCCCCUUUAGAGUCAAGAGUUGUACGCAACAUGAACACGCAGAGGGAUAUACCCAGCAAAGAUACAGCACACUGCUGAUGACCAAAUACAGAGUCGAUCAAACCUUGCCCAUAUUUCUAAUUUUAGGCAUCCUGGAUAGAUCAACAAGUAUUUGGUAUACUUUGGAAUGGGGUUCAUGGUGGCAAAAUCCAUGUUGCAUGUUGGCAAGUUUUAGUGCAGCCACAUUGCUCGGAACAACAGUCGACUUGAAGCUAUCUUGAAGCCCCAAAUCAACAAGUUGUCAACUUCAGCUCCAAAUCAGUUCCUUAUCUCGCUCCCAUUGCAUUCAGUGUCGACCUAGAAGAGAGCAUCAGUCAUGACUGACACCACCACAACCAUCCUCACAAAAAAAUGAUAUAAAACCACAAACAUCCUGAAAAUGCACAGGUUAGAUCAAAUACAUGUUGGUUCAAACGCACAACCUCUGGUCUACUUACUACCUAGAAUUGAGAUUUUGCUGAUAUGACUAUGCUUCAAGUUGGAGUGUCAAAGUACCCCAGUAUGCCACUAUGCAGGUUAUAGAGUGGCAUCAGCAAAUCAUUCGACUUCUGCUAGAAAGAUACAGCUUUACUAUACAGAAAAAAGUACAGAACUGAAACAUAGAACACUGCCCGUAGGAAACACAUACGACUAUUCCUGCUGUUUAGUUGAUUAAUUCAGCUAAUGCAAUUACCAAGUCCUAGUUACAGGUGUGAUACCAAUCAACUAUCAUGUAUAGGUAUAGGUAUAGCUCAAUCUGAUUGCCUUCAAUUUCAGCCACAUUAAGAGACAACUUAACCAAUUUAGUGUAUUAUCACAUCAUAGGAACAGGUUGUCUGCUGAAGCAAUUAAAUAAAACAGACACUAGUUUCCCUCUCUCGUCAUAUAGAGAAUACAUGGAACUAUAACACUAACAGCUGCAUGCAUCAGUAACAUUACUGGAAGACCAAACAUAAAAAAGUGUUCCUGAUCACAUGAACCUAUAUGUUGCAUUGCAUAAGGUUAUAUCGGCAUUGCUACAGUUUUGUCAGAAGAAAAAUAAAUAAAUAAAACUGAUCACGAACCAGCUUUCUUUGCAAAGCAACAUCAGCAUAAACAAUAUUAAGGACAAGUUCUAUUAAAAGGAGCAAAAGCACUGUGAUCAAACAGUAUCAGUGUACACCAGUGUACUUCAUAAUGAACUGCUUCCAUAUGGCUCUAGAAUAUUGGUUCUCCAAGCUAAAAACAUGUGCCUUAAGGUAGUUAGGCCACAUAACAUGAUCCAGAUAUUAUGCACUAUUCCUUAAUCAUUGAACAAGUUAUGUGCAUAACCAAUCGACUGACUAAUCUUGUUCCACGUGAAAUACUACUAUCACCCUUCUGUAGGUAUUGCAAAACUUAAUCAAUCAAGAGAAAACAAAACAAAAGGUCCACAUAAAAGCAUUCAGGGUUAUAAAAGAUGCUGAGGUGAAACUUGAACCACACUGACUACCGAGUAAUACUUUCUGAUUGGCUAAUGAAUAAUAAUCUAUGCACAACUACUAAUAUGGGUUUACUUACCUCUCAUUUUUUCCAACCAUUCAAUAUGUUGUAUACUAGUCGUCCGAAGCCCUAAAAUUGUGAUGCAGUAAUGAUAGAGUGCAGCCAAGUUAGCAGAGUGGCAAAUGUACCAGAACAUCAGGAGGCAGUGCACAGUUGAAACAAGGUACAUAUGCAACAACUUUCAGGUUGAUUAUAAACACAAAGAAAAGGAGAAUAACAGGUGCCCCAUGCUCAAUCUUUAUACCAAUUUAAGACGAUAGUGAGUAUUAUAUUAUGAAAAUUUAAUUUAAUUAAGAUAAUAUUUUUUCGUGACGUUACUUCACCACAUCCAGAAAUGCACCAAGAGGAGACAAUAACUGAUUCACGUCUUUAACUUAAAAAAAUGAAGUCAAUGAACAAAACAGGAUCGAAGAAAGAGGUGUGCAAAUAAAAUAUUGUACUAGUGUAGGGCUUAAAACUGGGGUUUCUAAGGGCAUGUACAACACCCAUAUGUGAACCAACCCUUAUAGGUAGUUAGGUGCCUAUCUUGUAGUGGUGGAGCUUGCCACAGGCAUACCAGAGAGCUUGCAUACAGGGCGUGUUUGGAUGCAACCGUAGCGAAAAAUUGCCUCGCCUGUAGCAAGCCUGUGACCUGCCUCAAUACAGAAUGCCAUCAUUAAUAUUAAAGACUGAAAGAAACGACUAAUACAGAAUGCCAUCAUUAAUAUCAAUGGAGGGAGUAUCACUCAAAUGAGCAGCAUCAAUACCACCAUUAAUUAUGCUUGUGAAAUAUGCCCCUACAUCCAUUGUUCCUGUAAUACAGAAUGCAAAUUAUUAUUGGUCAAAUAUUAAAGACUGAAAGAAACGAUUACUGAAUUAAAGAACAACUCGAGAGAGCACUGGACUGAAUGGUUGCAGAUUCAAAAGUGUGUGUUUGAAUAAAAAAACUCUCAAAGAGUAGUAAUAUCUCUACUCCCCCAUGCCCCACAGUAGAAACAACUGAAGUACGUUAUGGCACUGUCAAAGACUAAGGACAUACUAAAAGUGAAUGGAGGCACAUACAUGAGAAACAUACAGGAAUUGUAGGGAACAGUACCUUCAAAUAUGCUACUUCAGGGCUUCUAGCAUGCCGACUCAAGUGGUUAGACCAUUGCUGCAUUCCAUUGCAAAAGCUUUCUUUUGCUUUCCCUGAGACCAUUGUAGAUACACAAUACUCAUUAACAGAUAACCAAAUGAUUUUAAAAUAUUUUCUGUGCUCAAUCAUAGAAACCAAGCCCUCCCUUCUUUUGCUGCACAAUUUACUCAUCCUAAUGCAUGUGGAACUGUGCUAGUGUCAUAGCCAAAUGAUCUUCAGAGGCAGAACAAACAAUAAAAUACCCAUCCCACAAGAAUAAAAUGAAAUAUCAUGUUUAAUCAAUUAACUAAUACCCCUAUCAAAACCAAACAAAUUUGAGGUGUUAAAUGAUGGUUGAGAUUUAUCUAAGAAAAAAAAAGAACUUUGCUUGUAUUAUGAACCAAUGUAGCACAAAAGAUCUCAUCACAAAUGGAAUGAGAGAGACACAAGGGAAAAAAUAGAUUAAGAUAAUAUUUUUAGACAAGGCUGGAAGACUUAUUUUAUAGUACUAUUAAACAUAAACAAAGCUACUAUUAUGGCUAUUAGUUGUAUCGAUUAUUAAGUUUUUUUCAGGAAACUAUCCAUUAUUAAGUAGAAUAUCAACUACAACAACAACACCACUAUGCCUUUCAGCCUUAUUUCUAGCUAUAUAAUCAAUAGUACUGCUAGUCUAACAAUCAACAGUAAUGAUCAUGUUCGGUAGCUGAAGCCUACAUUGGUCUGCCCAAGUGAUUGUACAUAUUGCUGUAGAAUCAAAUAAGAAGGUCUGCAUAAUUUUUCCUUCAAAAUCAACUAUUUAACUCUAUUGAUGCAAUAUGUCACAGGCUUUACUUUAUAUGGAAGGUCGGAGGAAAAAGGCAAGGGAUAAAUAUGAAAGGUUAACAAAGUAGAGAGAAAGGGUGCAAAAGAAAGAAUAUUAUAUACCAUCAUAAGAAGGCAGAAGGACACAUAACCAAAGUUCCACUUACAGGCGGUAACAAAAGGAGGAAAAUCAAAAUUUUAAUCGCUCCUCUACGAAGCAAAAUGUUACACGUGCAUGCCGCACGUGCUUACCUUAUUUUGGGGAACACUCUUACCUUUAUUUUGGCUACUCGAGCCUUAUUUCGUCUCCUCCAACCCAUUGGCAGGGCCUACACACUCGAGCCUUAUUUGUCCUUACCCCCCCUUUUAUUGGGCCUUAUUAGGCUCGACUACCUUAUUAACUAUGGCACAAUCUGCCUUAUUUUGGCUACUCAAGCCUUAUUUGUCCUAGUCUAUGUAACGCGGUAAGAUUAAUAACCAAGGCAUCGGUAGCUCACUGGGGUCAGGUGGGGCCACCGUGAAGGCAGGCCCAGCGUACACUUUCUCCUUCUCCUCCUCCACCACCACCUCCUUCUUCUCCUCCUCCUCCUUCUCCAUCCUAGCUCGCUUUCGAGCAUCCCAACGCUCAUCAGAGCUACUGCCACUAGCUGCAGCAGCUGGUGAGCGGGUGGUGAGACUCUUUCUAGAGUCCCAGCGUGCAUCCGAGGGAGACCCACUCCCUGGUGAGCGGGUGAACCCCCAGCGUGGCCUCUUUCCUGGUCCCACGGAACCAGGACAAGGUCCAAGCAGCGCCAUUUUUUUGACAAGAGAGCGUUCGCAGAAGAGAGAGUUGGGGAGAGAGAGAGAGAGAGUUUAGGCGGGGGGGCUGCUGUUGAAUGCGCAAAGCACGGCUUCGCAGGAUUCAAUAGCAAAGAUCGGGUGUCUCUUCUCUAAGAAGAGACAUCCCGGUAAUCAAUCCAAAGCCUUUAAGCAACUCGUUAAACCCUUGGAUAGGCGAGGUGGGACUAACCUCGCGGGAGCUUGCGGCGGCCGCCGUCGCGCCCUCUUUCCGCCUCCCCGCCCCGCGCGCCCCCGCGGCCUCCGAACGCGCCAUCCGAGGGCUGAAUCGACCGCGCUGGCGAACUCUGGUGCGGUGCGGAUACAGGCGCGGAGGCCGGCGCUGGCGGCGUCCUGCUGUGUCCGGCGUGGGCGAUGGCCCUAGAUCGACGCGGUGUAGAUACGGGCGCGGAGGCCGGCGACGCACGAGAAACAGGAGAGAGAGAAAAAAAAAAGAGGGGGGAUUGCAGGCGGGUGCCGCUAGGUACCCGUUCCUUUCUCCACGCUGUGCCAACUCUGAUUGGGCCGAGGCUGGGCCGAACUGCUAAUUGGGCUGAGGCGCUUCCUCUCCGCCUUUUUUUUUUAAUUCAGGUGGUUUCGAGUUCGUCGGUGGGAGAGAACUGUCCGCCGGCACAGUGUCUGCACGGCGGCGCCAUGGCUGGAGCUCAUCGGACUUCGCCGAAACGGCGGAUCCGGGCUCGGAACUCGACGGGAAG